rnacentral:tRNA from 1 species
CGGGGUGUAGCGCAGUCCGGUUAGCGCGCCUGCUUCGGGUGCAGGAGGUCGUGGGUUCGAAUCCCGCCACCCCGA